UACGGAGGGGGCGAGCGUUAUUCGGAAUUAUUGGGCGUAAAGGGCGCGUAGGCGGCUGUACAAGUCAAAGGUGAAAUCCCUCGGCUCAACUGAGGAACUGCCUUUGAAACUGUACGGCUUGAGGCCGGGAGGGGGUAGCGGAAUUCCCAAUGUAGCGGUGAAAUGCGUAGAUAUUGGGAGGAACACCAGUGGCGAAGGCGGGUCUCUGGACAGUUCCUGACGCUGAGGUGCGAAAGCGUGGGGAGCAAACAGG
rnacentral:rRNA from 1 species